rnacentral:rRNA from 1 species
AUACGUAGGUGGCAAGCGUUGUCCGGAAUUAUUGGGCGUAAAGCGCAUGUAGGCGGUGCCUUAAGUCUGUCGUGAAACUGCGGGGCUUACCCCCGUAUGGCGAUGGAAACUGUGGCACUUGAGUGCAGGAGAGGAAAGGGGAACUCCCAGUGUAGCGGUGAAAUGCGUAGAUAUUGGGAAGAACACCGGUGGCGAAGGCGCCUUUCUGGACUGUGUCUGACGCUGAGAUGCGAAAGCCAGGGUAGCGAACGGGAUUAGAUAUCCCGGUAGUCCUGGCCGUAAACGAUGGGUACUAGGUGUGGGAGGUAUCGACCCCUUCCGUGCCGGAGUUAACGCAAUAAGUACCCCGCCUGGGGAGUACGGCCGCAAGGCUUAAACUCAAAUGAAUUGGCGGGG